UGCCCGGGUCCACUGUCUAGGUGCACAGAAGUUGAGGGGCGAGGUCCUCCACUCUCCAGCAAACUGGAACCGAUUGCUGCCGGUUCCCCGGAGAGUCCUGGCUUGUGCGUGUCAGGACGCCUCUCGGCGACAGCUUAUAAAGGGUUAUGGAGACCAGCGUGAAGUUAAAGUUUACUCUUAUCCUGGAGUUUUCAGGGGCCAGUGAGAAGCACCUGCCAAAAAGCAUGUUGACCAGAGUUGAUUCCCGGAACCCACACAGUAGAAGAACCAACUCCAACACGCUGUCCUCUGACCUCCACACGUGUAGGGAACCACGUGCGUUGACACACGUGCCCAAUAAAUACAUGAAGAAAAAGAAGGGGAAAAGAACAGCAAGCCUGGCUUGGUUCUGUUAAGACCAAAAGCAGGAGGAGGCGCUUGCAUUCCUUCCCCCUCUGCUUUCUGGUAAGGAUGGUGUUGAUUGGGGAGCGGGGGAUCAAGAGCCUCUUUUUAGAAGGCUCAAACAGUUUAGGCGUUUGUCAUGAAAGCCUGGUGACCUGAGUGUGAUCCCUGGAAAGAGAACAAAGUUGUCCUCUGCCCACCACACGUGUGGCACCCAAGCCCCUGUCCACACUCUCAUCAGUUUGGUUUUGCUUUUUUCAAAAUUAAAAUGUAAGGAUCCAUCCUUCCGUAAUAAGACGCAUGUGGUUGGUUUUUAAGAUUUCCAGUUUUUGCUGGGCAGUGGUGACAACUAAGGAAACAGAGGCGGGUGGCUCUCUAUGAGUUCAAGGCCAGCCUGGCCUACAGAGUGAGUUCCAGGACAGGCUCCAAAGCUACAGAGAAACCCUCUUGA